GACUUCCCUGGUGGGCCAGUGGUUAGGACUCCGGGCUUCUACUGCUGGGGGCGAGGGUUUAAUCCCUGGUCAGGGAACUAAAAUCCCACAAGCCACAAAGUGCGGC